rnacentral:rRNA from 1 species
UUAUGGUUCCUUAGAUCGUACUUUUCUACUUGGAUAACUGUGGCAAUUCUAGAGCUAAUACAUGCAGCAGAGCUCCGACCUUCGGGGACGAGCGCUUUUAUUAGACCAAGACCAAUCGGACUCCGGUCCGUACGCCACGGCGACUCUGGAUAACUUUGGGCUGAUCGCACGAUCUCGCAUCGGCGAUAUUUCUUUCAAGUGUCUGACUUAUCAACUUUCGAUGGUA